GGGGCUGAUUCUGGAUUCGACGGGAUUUGCGAAACCCAAGGUGCAUGCCGAGGGGCGGUUGGCCUCGUAAAAAGCCGCAAAAAAAUAGUCGCAAACGACGAAAACUACGCUUUAGCAGCUUAAUAACCUGCUUAGAGCCCUCUCUCCCUAGCCUCCGCUCUUAGGACGGGGAUCAAGAGAGGUCAAACCCAAAAGAGAUCGCGUGGAAGCCCUGCCUGGGGUUGAAGCGUUAAAACUUAAUCAGGCUAGUUUGUUAGUGGCGUGUCCGUCCGCAGCUGGCAAGCGAAUGUAAAGACUGACUAAGCAUGUAGUACCGAGGAUGUAGGAAUUUCGGACGCGGGUUCAACUCCCGCCAGCUCCACCA
rnacentral:tmRNA from 2 species